rnacentral:sRNA from 1 species
UACCAUAGAUUGCAAUCCGAUUUCAUGG